AUAUAUGUAUGUAUAUAUAUAUAUGUGUGUGUGUGUGUACAUUGUAUGAGUAGGCAUGUGUAUGCAUAUUCAUAUUUACCUAUGUAAUCUCAUAAUGUAGAUGCUCUUUCUAAUAAUCCAAACCUAAAUCCAUCCAAAUUUGUCAUCUGGUAUAAUUCUUGUCCAUGUCAUCUGGCAAACUCAUCAUUAACCAUUAAUUAACACAUGCUAUAUUCCAGACACAGGGCUAGCUGCUGAAGACACAAAACAAAGAUGAAAUUGUCCUUAUCCUCAAAGCAUACAUGAUCUACUAUGUACAUAAAUAAGCAGCUACAAAAUAAAUGCAAGGAAAAUUAAUUUUUUUAAUUUUUUUGCAGGAAGGAUAUGAGCAAGCUAGGGGAAAUCUUAUAAAGUCUCCUAUCGGUGGUGGCACUUGAUAAACUGAUGCUAAGUGAAAAACCCUAAUAAACAGAGAUCUACAAUGGAAGAGCAGUUAUAUCUGUUGAAUCGCCAUCAAUCAAUAGAAUUCAUCUCUAUUUUAAAAGUGAUUGACAGUCUCCAGAUGACAACAUCUGCAGCAGAAGUUGACUCCUUUCCAGAAGUGGAAUCUAUCUUUGUAAUUCUGCAUGCUUUCCCAAUGCCUCAGCUAGUGCAGACUGUGCAAAGCUCCUUAUCUAGGACUCUAAGAAAGGAUAACAGGACUGCUCAAGUAUAAAAACACGACCAAGGGAUAAGUUAUCUGCCAUUAGACAGUUACACAAAUGGACAAAGAUAUAUGUUUGAGAUUCUUUUCCACUUUG
rnacentral:lncRNA from 1 species